rnacentral:rRNA from 1 species
CCUACGGGAGGCUGCAGUGGGGGCUAUUGCACAAUGGGGGAAACCCUGAUGCAGCGACGCCGCGUGUGGGAAGGCGGUCCUCUGGAUUGUAAACCACUGUCCCCAGGGACGACGAUGCCGGUACCUGGGGAGGAAGCUCCGGCUAACUACGUGCCAGCAGCCGCGGUAAUACGUAGGGAGCGAGCGGUGUCCGGAAGUACUGGGUGUAAAGGGAGCGUAGGCGGGACUGCAAGUUGGUUGUCAAAUUUACCGGCUCAACCGUUAGCCGAACUUAAAACUGCAGUUCUUGAGUGAAGUAGCGGCAGGCGGAAUUCCUAGUGUAGCGGUGAAAUGCGUAGAUAUUAGGAGGAACACCAGUGGCGAAGGCGACCUGCUGGGCUUUGACUGACGCGGAGGCUCGAAAGUGUGGGGAGCAAACAGGAUUAGAUACCCCAGUAGUC